CGCUGGCGGCAGGCUUAACACAUGCAAGUCGAGCGCCCCGCAAGGGGAGCGGCAGACGGGUGAGUAACGCGUGGGAACGUACCUUUUGCUACGGAAUAACUCAGGGAAACUUGUGCUAAUACCGUAUGUGCCCUUCGGGGGAAAGAUUUAUCGGCAAAGGAUCGGCCCGCGUUGGAUUAGCUAGUUGGUGAGGUAAAGGCUCACCAAGGCGACGAUCCAUAGCUGGUCUGAGAGGGUGAUCAGCCACACUGGGACUGAGACACGGCCCAGACUCCUACGGGAGGCAGCAGUGGGGAAUAUUGGACAAUGGGCGCAAGCCUGAUCCAGCCAUGCCGCGUGAGUGAUGAAGGCCCUAGGGUUGUAAAGCUCUUUCACCGGUGAAGAUAAUGACGGUAACCGGAGAAGAAGCCCCGGCUAACUUCGUGCCAGCAGCCGCGGUAAUACGAAGGGGGCUAGCGUUGUUCGGAUUUACUGGGCGUAAAGCGCACGUAGGCGGACUUUUAAGUCAGGGGUGAAAUCCCGGGGCUCAACCCCGGAACUGCCUUUGAUACUGGAAGUCUUGAGUAUGGUAGAGGUGAGUGGAAUUCCGAGUGUAGAGGUGAAAUUCGUAGAUAUUCGGAGGAACACCAGUGGCGAAGGCGGCUCACUGGACCAUUACUGACGCUGAGGUGCGAAAGCGUGGGGAG
rnacentral:rRNA from 1 species